CAAACAAAAAUCUAUUCUUAAUUAAACAAUAUUGCUUGAGCGUCUGCUGAGCAUAAUAACGAUGCUGCGAAAGUAAUUAUAUGAGCUUGGUAGUGUUUCUUUUUGAAUGACUUUUUUAGUAGCCGGCCAGGAACAUAUAAUCCUCCUUCAAGCAUGUUUCUGCCUCAGUUAACAAUGUCUUCCAAAAAGGAUGCUUGGCUCCUCUCAGCACAAGUCAGAGUGACAUUGAGAAUGCAUCAUCCUCAAUGAACGGGGUCAUGCUGCACCUUUGAGCGGCAAAAUGACUGCUUGAGCCGCUCUCCUCUGCGCAACAUACACUUAUAAGGCCAAUCAUGUGAAUUUCAUAAGAGAAAAGCGGCGGCGCGUUACAGCUGCUGUGGUCAGCGAUCUUUCAAGCAAGGAAAGAUUUACAAUAACAUCAGGAUAUAUUUGGUGAGGCACUGCUUCCCCUGGUUGUAGACACUCUGCUUGCCUCGUCAACAAAAUGUAGCUUAUCUGAUAUUCUUCUUGCAGUCACGGCUUGAUUAGCAUAUUUCUCAGUUUUUUUAAACUCAUUGUUGUCCAGGAACACAUGACAGAUACAUUCAUUGUACUACAUCACACUGCUACAGUAUUUACAUCAUGAUAAGCAGGAGCAGAAAAACGUUGGCUAGCGUCAUGUACGGUAAAUACACUUGGCAAAUAAGUGUAAUAUGUAAUGUAAGUACAGUGAAACAUACUAUCAACAACCUAUCAAUAUUCUGUGUUUUAAUCUCUUUUGAUCACAGCUGAACUAUUGAACUCAAGAAAUCACUUGAAUUACAUGAGUGAAAACGGAAUAUUUUCUUGAAAAAACUCUGCCCCCUAAAGGAAACAAAUGAAACGCGUGCUCAUGGUCGUCCAGCGCCCUUCGCCCAGUUUGAAAACCACAGAGUUAGAGCUUUAGGCAUUGGUGUCAAAGGUUCCGGUGGGCUGUCAAGCUGAGAUGUGUCGGACAUGCAAGUCAUAGAGGGAUUUUACAGCUGAAGGCUGGGUCCACAACGUUGGCAACACUGCAAACCUCAAGGCAAUCAUCUUUGAAAGGGAUUGCCUGUGAUGUGAAGUUCACAGAGACUGGACACGGUGGCUACAAACACAACUACAACUUGCAGAGGAGACUGAAGAAGACGGAUCAGGAUGUGACCAGUCCCGUCCCUACAGUCCCGUCCCUACAGUCCCGUCCCUACAGUCCCGUCCCUACAGUCCCGUCCCUACAGUCCCGUCCCUAAAGUCCCGUCCCUACAGUCCCGUCCCUACAGUCCCGUCCCUACAGUCCCGUCCCUAAAGUCCCGUCCCUACAGUCCCGUCCCUACAGUCCCGUCCCUAAAGUCCCGUCCCUACAGUCCCGUCCCUACAGUCCCGUCCCUACAGUCCCGUCCUUACAGUCCCGUCCCUAUAGUCCCGUCCCUACAGUCCCGUCCCUACAGUCCCGUCCCUACAGUCCCGUCCCUAAAGUCCCGUCCCUACAGUCCCGUCCCUACAGUCCCGUCCCAACAGUCCCUACAGUGAGAGCAUAGAUGCCCUGAUGAAUGUGGUCAGAAAUGAAGAAGCUGUGAAGGACUCUGCAUAUGCCUGCACGCCCUGGAGCGCCGCCACCUUCUUCCACCAAGCACUCAGCCUAUCCUGAACCCCAAAGUCUAAGCCGAAGCUUUACGUCUAACCCAGAAAUUAAACUUAGAAGAGAAAAUGCCAUAUAUGACAUAGAACAACGUGACAUUAAGGAACACAAGCUCAGCUGUGUGAUGUUAAGUGCUAACAUUAAACUCGCCAGCAACGUCAUGCAGCUCAAAUGUGAAGAACCACAAAAUUUUUUAAUUUUUUUUGUUUAAAAGGGACAGAAAUAUUUGAAAUAUUCACCUGAAACACAACAUAGAUUUGCAUCCUUUGUCAGCAAGCAGGGUUUAAGUUUCAGCAUUUGAUGUCAAAUAAAAGACACCAAUGGCCCCACUCACUGGACAAACUAUGACAUAACAACAAUGCAACAUGCAAUCGGGGGCUAAGUUAUUUGAUUUAUAAGUUAGGCUUCGAGAGGUGUUGGCAUUGGCAGCAGAGGCCACAACUCUCUUGGGUCCUGUGAUGGUCCAGUCCAGUCCAGUCCAGGCUUACUCUGCUCCUCACCCAAAGUUGGUUAGGACAGGCACCAUUCACAGCAUGGAUGGAUGGAAUUUUCAAGAUAUCAUUUUUCAUUAUUGUAGUUCUGCUUUUCAGGUUUACUUGGUAAUUAUUAAUUGAUAAAGCCGUUAUUCAUUUUACUAUCUUGGUUAUGGAAAGGAAUAGAAGUGUAUUUCCAGCCCUGCUCUAUAAUAAAAUAAUUUACCUCAAAUAACAUUUUAAUACAUUCUUCACAUUCUGUUUUGUAUUCCAUGCUUUGCGACUAAGGUGAGCCAUUUUGCUAACAUGGGACAAUUAUAUAAAAAAGCUCAUUUCAUUCCCAAUUUCCUUGUACAUUCUAAAAAGAAAAUAUUCCUUUGUUCCAGAAGACAGCUCAUUUGUCAUUUGUCAAUGUAAUGGUGAUUGCUUCAGACUGCAGUGGUGUGGACCUGCACUGCCUCACGCUGAGGUGUUGCUAAUAUUUGGGUUUCGCCGUAUGAGAGCAAGAGACAAGUCCUACAAAAUGACUGACACAUCAGAAAGUCAUCAAUAGGUUGAUCAACGUGUCAUGGCGGAAGCUCUCCAAGUCACUGGUGUGUGUGAGUGACAGGGAGAAAAGCCUGCUCAAGGAGAAGUUGUAUGACACCACCUGUUGGUUGCCUACAAGACUGUGAAACAUUCCAUCCAUUUAUUUCCUCAUGUAUUGUUAUUGUGCAUAACAAUGCUAACGAUAACUAAAUCACAUUUGAUGUAAAGGGAUCUCAGUUUCAGAAAUAUGGGCCAUUAUUAAAAAAAAUAUAUGUAUAUACACUCAGCAAUGACAUUAUGAUACGUAGUGUUCGAUACUGGUCACUAGGUGUCAGUAGUAUUACACUGUUGUCUAACGGCCACCGCAGGAAGUCCCGUUUGUUGUGAGAGUCCACUGAUGGUGUGUUGUUGAAAUAGUAACCUUCUUAUGUGUCUUAUUUAUGUCUCAUUUCCCUGUUUACGUUUCUAUUGGGCAAUACAGACG